rnacentral:rRNA from 1 species
GAGUUUGAUCCUGGCUCAGAUUGAACGCUGGCGGCGUGCUUAACACAUGCAAGUCGAGCGGCAGCGCGGUAGCAAUACUGGCGGCGAGCGGCGAACGGGUGAGUAAUGCUUCGGAAUCUUCCUCGUAGUGGGGGAAUAACCUGGGGAAACUCAGGCUAAUACCGCAUACGAACUACGGUUGAAAGCAGGGGGAUCGGCAAGACCUUGACGCUAUGAGAUGAGCCGAAGUCGGAUUAGCUAGUUGGUAGGGUAACGGCCUACCAAGGCGACGAUCCGUAGCUGGUCUGAGAGGACGACC